rnacentral:rRNA from 1 species
UGCGUAGGUGGUUUCUUAAGUCAGAGGUGAAAGGCUACGGCUCAACCGUAGUAAGCCUUUGAAACUGGGAAACUUGAGUGCAGGAGAGGAGAGUGGAAUUCCUAGUGUAGCGGUGAAAUGCGUAGAUAUUAGGAGGAACACCAGUUGCGAAGGCGGCUCUCUGGACUGUAACUGACACUGAGGCACGAAAGCAUGGGUAGCAAACA